AGGGUUAAUUAUUCCCCUCUCAACUUCAGAAAAGUGCUCCGCGUGGACUCAUAAAACUGCAACUUCCACCCUCCACUACCUGCCUGGGCUGUUUCCCCUGGGUUCACUCUGCUAACUGGCUUUCAUAACCAGGAGUAACCCUCACCAAAGUUAUAUUCUGGUUUAGGGUUAAUUAUUCCCCUCUCAACUUCAGAAAAGUGCUCCGCGUGGACUCAUAAAACUGCAACUUCCACCCUCCACUACCUGCCUGGGCUGUUUCCCCUGGGUUCACUCUGCUAACUGGCUUUCAUAACCAGGAGUAACCCUCACCAAAGUUAUAUUCUGGUUUAGGGUUAAUUAUUCCCCUCUCAACUUCAGAAAAGUGCUCCGCGUGGACUCAUAAAACUGCAACUUCCACCCUCCACUACCUGCCUGGGCUGUUUCCCCUGGGUUCACUCUGCUAACUGGCUUUCAUAACCAGGAGUAACCCUCACCAAAGUUAUAUUCUGGUUUAGGGUUAAUUAUUCCCCUCUCAACUUCAGAAAAGUGCUCCGCGUGGACUCAUAAAACUGCAACUUCCACCCUCCACUACCUGCCUGGGCUGUUUCCCCUGGGUUCACUCUGCUAACUGGCUUUCAUAACCAGGAGUAACCCUCACCAAAGUUAUAUUCUGGUUUAGGGUUAAUUAUUCCCCUCUCAACUUCAGAAAAGUGCUCAGCGUGGACUCAUAAAACUGCAACUUCCACCCUCCACUACCUGCCUGGGCUGUUUCCCCUGGGUUCACUCUGCUAACUGGCUUUCAUAACCAGGAGUAACCCUCACCAAAGUUAUAUUGUAUGUUACAUUGAUAUUUGUUCUUUUUAAAAGUAACAUUGAUGUUAUUUCC